rnacentral:rRNA from 1 species
CUACGGGGUGCUGCAGUGGGGAAUAUUGCGCAAUGGGCGAAAGCCUGACGCAGCAACGCCGUGUGAGGGAUGAAGGCUUUCGGGUCGUAAACCUCUGUCAGAAGGGAAGAACGGGUAUUGGUCUAAUAGGCCUUUAUUUUGACGGUACCUUCAGAGGAAGCACCGGCUAACUCCGUGCCAGCAGCCGCGGUAAUACGGAGGGUGCAAGCGUUAUUCGGAAUUACUGGGCGUAAAGCGCACGUAGGCCGCUUUGUAAGUCAGGGGUGAAAUCCCACGGCUCAACCGUGGAACUGCCUUUGAAACUGCAGAGCUUGAAUCCUGGAGAGGGUGGCGGAAUUCCUGGUGUAGGAGUGAAAUCCGUAGAUAUCAGGAGGAACACCGGUGGCGAAGGCGGCCACCUGGACAGGUAUUGACGCUGAGGUGCGAAAGUGUGGGGAGCAAACAGGAUUAGAUACCCGCGUAGUC